UGCCCUUUUAACCCAAGAGUGGUGGACCUGU
rnacentral:piRNA from 1 species